GCAAUACCGCGUGGGGGAGGAAGGUCUGUGGAUUGUAAACCCCUUUUCUCAGGGAAGAAGCUCUGACGGUACCUGAGGAAUCAGCAUCGGCUAACUCCGUGCCAGCAGCCGCGGUAAUACGGAGGAUGCAAGCGUUAUCCGGAAUUAUUGGGCGUAAAGCGUCCGCAGGCGGCUAGAUAAGUCUGCUUUCAAAGAGUGGGGCUCAACCCCAUAGGGGGAGUGGAAACUGUUUAGCUAGAGUAUGGUAGGGGCAGAGGGAAUUCCCAGUGUAGCGGUGAAAUGCGUAGAUAUUGGGAAGAACACCAGUGGCCGNACCGC
rnacentral:rRNA from 1 species